rnacentral:tRNA from 1 species
GGAGGGGUACCCGAGUGGCCAAAGGGGGCAGACUGUAAAUCUGCUGGCUGACGCCUUCGCUGGUUCGAAUCCAGCCCCCUCCA